AGCGAACGCUGGCGGCAGGCCUAACACAUGCAAGUCGAGCGCCCCGCAAGGGGAGCGGCAGACGGGAGAGUAACACGUGGGAACGUACCCUUUGGUCCGGAACAACCCAGGGAAACUUGGGCUAAUACCGGAUAAGCCCUUACGGGGAAAGAUUUAUCGCCGAAGGAUCGGCCCGCGUCUGAUUAGCUAGUUGGUGGGGUAACGGCCCACCAAGGCGACGAUCAGUAGCUGGUCUGAGAGGAUGAUCAGCCUCACUGGGACUGAGACACGGCCCAGACUCCUACGGGAGGCAGCAGUGGGGAAUAUUGGACAAUGGGCGCAAGCCUGAUCCAGCCAUGCCGCGUGGGUGAUGAAGGCCCUAGGGUUGUAAAGCCCUUUCGGCGGGGAAGAUAAUGACGGUACCCGCAGAAGAAGCCCCGGCUAACUUCGUGCCAGCCGCCGCGGUAAUAC
rnacentral:rRNA from 1 species